CAAUAGCGCAUAUUAAAGUUGUUGCGGUUAAAAAGCUCGUAGUUGGAUUUCUGCUGAGGAUGACCGGUCCGCCCUCCGGGUGAGUAUCUGGCUCAGCCUUGGCAUCUUCCUGAAGAACGUAACUGCACUUGACUGUGUGGUGCGGUAUUUAGGACAUUUACUUUGAGGAAAUUAGAGUGUUUCAAGCAAGCGCACGCCUUGAAUACAUUAGCAUGGAAUAAUAAGAUAGGACCUCGGUUCUAUUUUGUUGGUUUCUAGAGCUGAGGUAAUGAUUGAUAGGGAUAGUUGGGGGCAUUCGUAUUUAACUGUCAGAGGUGAAAUUCUUGGAUUUGUUGAAGACGGACUACUGCGAAAGCAUUUGCCAAGGAUGUUUUCAUUGA
rnacentral:rRNA from 1 species